AGCAUGUGGUUUAAUUCGAUGGUACGCGAGGAACCUUACCAGGGCUUGACAUACGUUGGAAGCGCAUCGAAAGGUGCGUGCCGCUUGCGGCCGGCGUACAGGUGCUGCAUGGCUGUCGUCAGCUCGUGCUGUGAAGUGUUGGGUUAAGUCCCGCAAACGAGCGCAACCCCUGCUGCCUGUUGCCACCACGAGAGGUGGGGACUCAGGCGGGACCGCCGGUGACAAACCGGAGGAAGGUGGGGACGACGUCAAGUCAUCAUGGCCCUUAUGUCCUGGGCUACACACGUGCUACAAUGGCCGGUACAGAGCGCAGCGAGGCCGCGAGGCGGAGCGAAUCGCUUAAAGCCGGUCCCAGUACGGAUUGGAGUCUGCAACCCGACUCCAUGAAGUUGGAAUCGCUAGUAAUCGCGCAUCAGCAUGGCGCGGUGAAUACGUUCCCGGGCCUU
rnacentral:rRNA from 1 species